rnacentral:lncRNA from 1 species
CUCAAGUCAUGUUCGAUAUCUAGUUAAGGGGUACAUUUAUCUCCAGUGUUCCCCGGGACCUUCCCUUUUGAUUUUCAAGAACAUUUUCUUCCCACUGCCAGAGCAGUCCUUUCGAAUCAAAGGCUCGGCUUUUCCAAAGCAUGGUUUCUGAUGUGGGCUUCAGUGGACUGGCUGCGAAGUUCCUGAGACAAUGAGAGGGAACGCUGGCUCUCUCUCUCUCUUUAUCUUCUUGCAGUAAAGCUCCAAUUCUCCUUGAGGUAAAGUGGAGCCUCUGAUUGAUGCGAGGACGCGGGGAAAAUGAAAGCCAAAUUAUUAUUAUUUCAAGUUGUGUUCUUGUGGCGUUCCCGGAUGUCUGUGGUGACCCUAGUUUGUGUGAAGCCAACAAAACUGACCAGCACACCUUCUGAGUGCUACAGCAGGAUGGAGAUGGGAGGCAAAUUCUUGGAAGCUUGAGGGUGGAUAGCUGAUGUGCCCAGCCCUCUAGCAACAGGCAAACAAGGAGGAGUGUGGAAUGGGAGUCAGUGCUUAAUAGGUGCAAAGUUUCC